UUUCCCUCAGGAUAGCUGGCACUCGCUCGAACGAGUCUCAUCUGGUAAAGCGAAUGAUUAGAGGCCUUGGGGCCGAAACGACCUCAACCUAUUCUCAAACUUUAAAUGGGUGAGAUCUCUGGCUUGCUUGAACGUUGAAGCCACGAGAUAACAUUUUUGAUAAUGGAUCAGAGUGCCAAGUGGGCCAAUUUUGGUAAGCAGAACUGGCGCUGUGGGA
rnacentral:rRNA from 1 species